rnacentral:rRNA from 1 species
AAUAUUGCACAAUGGAGGAAACUCUGAUGCAGCGACGCCGCGUGAGUGAAGAAGGUCUUCGGAUCGUAAAACUUUGUUCUUGGUGAAGAUAAUGACGGUAGCCAAGGAGGAAGCUUCGGCUAACCACGCGUCUGCAGCCGCGGUAAUACGUAGGGGGCUAGCGUUGUCCGGAUUUACUGGGCGUAAAGGGUGAGUAGUCGGUUGCAUAUGUCAGAUGUAAAAGGCACAGGCUUAACUUGUGUUAGCAUUUGAAACUGUGCGACUUGAGUGCGGGAGAGGUAAGUGGACUUCCUAGUGUAGCGGUGAAAUGCGUAGAUAUUAGGAGGAACCCCAGUGGCGAAGGCAGCCUCCUGGGAUAACACCGACGCUCAUGCACGAAAGCGUGGGGGGCAAACAGG